AUGUGGAAUGAACUGGGGAGUUCCCAGGGUCUGCUCUUCCCGUGGGCAGUGGAAGAGAGUCAUCCUGUUCAAGGCUGGUUCAGCCCCCAGCUCAGCUCAGGAGCGCUGGCUCCUGAUGGAAUGGUGAACCAGGGUGAAAACGAGGACAUGGAAUAAGGCUGCAGAAACUGCGUGCUGAAGGGUACACAGUUGUUUGGGGAAACUGUACUAUUUCGGCAUUGCCAGAUCGGCAGCGUGGCAUUUACUGCAUGUGCCUGGGGAACACGUCCUCUAAUCCCUUGCUAACUAAGAUGAAGUGUGGCAUCAGCCCAGCAGCAGCAGAGCAUGUUAGAGAGGCAGAACUUCAGACUCACCUUGGAGCUGCUGAAUCUGAAUCUCAUUUAACAAGAUCGUCGAGAGAAUCGAACGCACUGCCAUAGUCUUCUUAACAUUCAUCCAGGGACAACUCCAUCUGCACAAUGCAGAAAUGGGCAUUUCUCAGAACUUCACGCUCCACCUUGGAGCUGCUGAAUCUGAAUCUGCAUUUAACAAGAUCCUCGAGAGAAUCACCACCCUACCACAGUCUUAUUAACAUUCUUGCAGGACAAGUCCAUCUGCAGGAUGCAGAAAUGAGCAUUGAUCUGGGGGGAGCUGAUCAGCAAUAAUCAAUCCCGUUAGCCAUGGGAACAUAAUGCAAGGCAAUAUGUUUCAGGCCUCAUCAACAGCAGGGAGAACCACAAGUCACAAACUUCUUUUGCACUGAGAAAGGUGUUGCCGUGGGAACAGGGCUGCAGGCCAUGUGGUCAUCUUACUCAUCUCUAGAGGAAGGCAGGGGAGAGAGUCCCAGACAGGGAAAUUCAAGCUCAAAAACUUCUGCAUCCUGCUCAACAUCAUCCCCUGCCAUGUGGACCAGUAUCUGAAGGGGAAGAGCCUGCGUUCACACUCCACACACUGCGCCAUGACUCCGUGCCACCUGUUGAUUUAUCUUUUGGGGUGCUUUGUAAUGAUUGAAUUCAGGUUCUCUCUACUCUCUCAGCUAACAGCUCAGUGACAGCAGGUCCCUUGUACCUUAUUCACCCUUACACUGCCAGGGCCUCCCACAGCACCAGACAUGCAGGAGAUGGAGAAGAGGUAGUCAUCAAGUAAUUUGUCAUAACAUAGAGCUGGUCAUUCCCACCUGUGUUUUUUGGUGAAAGGGAGAAAAGCCGAGAUAGGUUUUAUGGACCAUUAAAUGUUUUAUGCAAAAAAUGUUUCCCAUUCUGUUGGUUGCCGGUUUGCUCUCAUGGUUACUUCUUCUGCUGUACAGAAGCUCUGAAGUUUAAUUACAUCCCAUUUGUCUAUUUUGGUUUUUGUUGCCAUUGCCCAUCAACGAUAGACUGGACAGGGAAAAUGUGGCACAUAAACACCAUGGAAUACUAUGCAGCCAUAAAAAAUGAUGAGUUCGUGUUCUUUGUAGGGACAU